GACGAACGCUGGCGGCGUGCCUAAUACAUGCAAGUAGAACGCUGAAGGAGGAGCUUACUUCUCUGGAUGAGUUGCGAACGGGUGAGUAACGCGUAGGUAACCUGCCUGGUAGCGGGGGAUAACUAUUGGAAACGAUAGCUAAUACCGCAUAAGAGUAGAUGUUGCAUGACAUUUACUUAAAAGGUGCAAUUGCACCACUACCAGAUGGACCUGCGUUGUAUUAGCUAGUUGGUGGGGUAACGGCUUACCAAGGCGACGAUACAUAGCCGACCUGGGAGGGUGAUCGGCCACACUGGGACUGAGACACGGCCCAGACUCCUACGGGAGGCAGCAGUAGGGAAUCUUCGGCAAUGGACGGAAGUCUGACCGAGCAACGCCGCGUGAGUGAAGAAGGUUUUCGGAUCGUAAAGCUCUGUUGUAAGAGAAGAACGAGUGUGAGAGUGGAAAGUUCACACUGUGGCGGUAUCUUACCAGAAAGGGACGGCUAACUACGUGCCAGCCGCCGCAGUAA
rnacentral:rRNA from 1 species